rnacentral:rRNA from 1 species
UACAUCAGUGGCAGACGGGUGAGUAACACGUAGGUAACCUGCCCUCGAGACGGGGAUAACGGCUGGAAACGGUCGCUAAGACCCGAUAUAGUCUGACCUUCGGGAGAAGGUGAGAGGAAAGGCUUCGGUGCUCGGGGAGGGGCCUGCGGCCCAUCAGCUAGUUGGAGAGGUAACGGCUCCCCAAGGCAAUGACGGGUAGGGGGUGUGAGAGCAUGGCCCCCCACACUGGGACUGAGACACGGNCCAGACUCCUACGGGAGGCAGCAGCAGGGAAUAUUGCGCAAUGGACGGAAGUCUGACGCAGCGACGCCGCGUGGAUGACGAAGGCCUUCGGGUUGUAAAAUCCUUUUCCGGGCGAUGAGGAAGGACACUAGCCUGGGAAUAAGCGUCGGCUAACUACGUGCCAGCAGCCGCGGUAAGACGUAGGACGCGAGCGUUAUCCGGAUUUACUGGGCGUAAAGCGCCUGCAGGCGGUCAGGUAAGUCGGUUGUGAAAGCCCCGUGCUCAACGCGGGGAGGCCAAGCGAUACUGCGUGACUUGAGGGCGGAAGAGGGGAGUGGAAUUCCCGGUGUAGCGGUAAAAUGCGCAGAUAUCGGGAGGAACACCAGUGGCGAAGGCGGCUCCCUGGACCGCACCUGACGCUCAGAGGCGAAAGCUAGGGGAGCGAACAGGAUUAGAGACCCUGGUAGUCCUAGCCCUAAACGCUGGAUGCUAGGUGUAGGGCUGAUGAGGCUCUGUGCCGGAGCGAACGCGAUAAGCAUCCCGCCUGGGAACUACGGCCGCAAGGCUAAAACUCAAACGAAUUGACGGGGACCCGCACAAGCAGCGGAGCGUGUGGUUUAAUUCGAUGCUACACGAAGAACCUGUACCUGGGUUNNNUUNGAACAAAUUGNUUGGGUUGGUACCGAACCGAAAGGGGAGGGACCCUUCGGGGAGCCAACACAGGUGCUGCAUGGUUGUCGUCAGCUCGUGCCGUGAGGUGUCGGGUUAAGUCCCGUAACGAGCGCAACCCUUGCUCUUAGUUAUACGUGUCUAAGGGGACUGCCGGCGACAAGCCGGAGGAAGGUGGGGAUGACGUCAAGUCAGCAUGGCCU